rnacentral:rRNA from 1 species
GAGCGCUGAAGGUUGGUACUUGUACCAACUGGAUGAGCAGCGAACGGGUGAGUAACGCGUGGGGAAUCUGCCUUUGAGCGGGGGACAACAUUUGGAAACGAAUGCUAAUACCGCAUAAAAACUUUAAACACAAGUUUUAAGUUUGAAAGAUGCAAUUGCAUCACUCAAAGAUGAUCCCGCGUUGUAUUAGCUAGUUGGUGAGGUAAAGGCUCACCAAGGCGAUGAUACAUAGCCGACCUGAGAGGGUGAUCGGCCAC